GUGCUUGCUUCGGCAGCACAUAUACUAAAAUUAGAACGAUACAGAGAAGAUUGGCAUGGCCCCUGUGCAAGGAUGACACGAAAAAUAACUCAUUGCAGUCAU